rnacentral:misc_RNA from 1 species
AUUUGUAUGAAGCCACUGGACCAAGAUUGUGCUACUCAAAGUGUUCUGCAGUAUUUCCAAAUGGAUCCUCAAAAUUAUGACAAUUAUGGGGGAGUUGAGCAUGUGCAUUAUUGUUUGCAGCAUUACACCUCUGCUGAUAAAUGUAUGAGUACCUUCAAAGCUCCUCUUGAUCCAAGCACUGCUUUGGGAGGUUUCUCAGGGAGCAAUUAUUCAGAGGCAUCUGCAUUUAUUGUAACUUAUCCAG